AGAGUGAACGCUGGCGGUAGGCCUAACACAUGCAAGUCGAACGGCAGCACAGUGGUAGCAAUACCAUGGGUGGCGAGUGGCGGACGGGUGAGGAAUACAUCGGAAUCUACCUUUUCGUGGGGGAUAACGUAGGGAAACUUACGCUAAUACCGCAUACGCCCUUCGGGGGAAAGCCGGGGAUCGCAAGACCUGGCGCGGAUAGAUGAGCCGAUGUCGGAUUAGCUAGUUGGUGAGGUAAUGGCUCACCAAGGCGACGAUCCGUAGCUGGUCUGAGAGGAUGAU
rnacentral:rRNA from 1 species